rnacentral:rRNA from 1 species
ACUCAAAUGAAUAGACGGGGACUUGCACAAGCAGUGGAUUAUGUGGUUUAAUUCGAUGAUAAACGAAGAACCUCACCAGGGUUUGAAACCUACGUGAAAGCCCCAAGAAACUGGGGCCCUCGCAAGACUAGUAGGCAGGUGCUGCAUGGUCGUCGUCAGUUCGUGGUUUGAAUUGUUCCCUUCAGUGGGGUAACGAACGCAACCCUCGUCGUGUGUUACAAGUGUCACACGAGACUGCCCCCGCUAUAGUUCACAAUCUUUCAUAAGGAUUGCGAAUUGCAGUGGGGGAGGAAGGCGAGGAUGACGCCAGAUCAGCAUGGCCCUCUGACAUCCUGGGCUACACACAUAAUACAAUCGCAGUUACAACGCGACGCAAUGGGGCGACCCGGAGCAAAUCGUAAGAAAAACUGCGCCAGUUCGGAUUGAAGUCUGCAACUCGACUUCAUGAAGCCGGAAUUGCUAGUAAUCGCGGGUCAGACAUACCGCGGUGAAUACGUUCUCAAGUCUUGUACACACCGCCCGU